CUGGGCUUUAGCCUCUCUGUGCCUCAGGUCCCUGUCUGGGAAAAGAAGAUAAAUUGACUUCCCUGCUUCACAGUAAUACUGGAAGACAAAUUCAUCUGAGACUGUUAGGUACUACUGUGAGGUUUCUGAUUGCCCUAGUUCAAGCUGCUUAUUGGACACAAUCGGAGAUCUAAGGACUGCAGAAAGAAUCCUCUGAAGUGGAAGAAGGUAAGACUUUGUGAGGUCACAAGGAUAAGGGAGUAAGAAUUUUCAUUCUACCACCUCUGACUUAUAUAAAUGUUUGUAGCAAGUCUGUCUAUUCAGCUAUUGCAAUCUUAUUUUGUGAUACAUAUUACCUUGAAGGCAGUUUGAAUUAAGAGUUAUUUCAAGAUAACUGAAUAGGAGAAAAGCAUUUCUCUCCUGGCAGUGUGAUAGCAGGAAAAAACAUGUCACACACUACUUAAAGAAAUACUGCUGGCCUUAGAAUUGAGAGAUGGAAAUACCAUUGAUGUCAAAAUGGAGUAGUUCUGUGAGUGAACAGAAAUAUUUUCAGAUACCAAAAUAAAACCUAUUGAGCAAAAAGCUUUCCCGAAGUGAAAGAAGCAAAGAAAUAGCUGAAGGUAUUAGCAGUGAAGAAAGAAGUAGAGCAAACAAAGGAGACAGAAAUCAUUUUCUUCAGCAGCCUGCAGAUAAGGAAAAUACGUCCUUCUUCUGCUGGAAUCUUCCUAGAUCAUUAUAAUAAACUAAUUAAUCUAAGAUGG
rnacentral:lncRNA from 1 species